UCCAGACUCCUACGGGAGGCAGCAGUGGGGAAUAUUGCACAAUGGGGGAAACCCUGAUGCAGCGACGCCGCGUGUGGGAAGACGGUCCUCUGGAUUGUAAACCACUGUCCCCAGGGACGAAGAUGACGGUACCUGGGGGGGAAGCUCCGGCUAACUACGUGCCAGCAGCCGCGGUAAUACGUAGGGAGCAAGCGUUGUCCGGAAUUACUGGGUGUAAAGGGAGCGCAGACGGCAGUGCAAGUCUGGAGUGAAAGCCCGGGGCCCAACCCCGGGACUGCUCUGGAAACUGUACGGCUAGAGUACGGGAGGGGCAGGCGGAAUUCCUAGUGUAGCGGUGAAAUGCGUAGAUAUUAGGAGGAACACCGGCGGCGAAGGCGGCCUGCUGGACCGUGACUGACGUUGAGGCUCGAGAGCGUGGGGAGCAAACAGGAUUAGAUACCCCUGUA
rnacentral:rRNA from 1 species